UGGGGAAUCUUGGACAAUGGGGGCAACCCUGAUCCAGCCAUGCCGCGUGAGUGAUGAAGGCCUUAGGGUUGUAAAGCUCUUUCACCGGUGAAGAUAAUGACGGUAGCCGGAGAAGAAGCCCCGGCUAACUCCGUGCCAGCAGCCGCGGUAAUACGGAGGGGGCUAGCGUUGUUCGGAAUUACUGGGCGUAAAGCGCGCGUAGGCGGACUGAUCAGUCAGGGGUGAAAUCCCGGGGCUCAACCCCGGAACUGCCUCCAAAACUAUUGGUCUAGAGUUCGAGAGAGGUGAGUGGAAUUCCAAGUGUAGAGGUGAAAUUCGUAGAUAUUUGGAGGAACACCAGUGGCGAAGGCGGCUCACUGGCUCGAUACUGACGCUGAGGUGCGAAAGUGUGGGGAGCAAACAGGAUUAGAUACCCUGGUAGUCCACGCCGUAAAACGAUGAGUGCUAGUCGUCGGCAGGCAUGCCUGUCGGUGACGCAGCUAACGCAUUAAGCACUCCGCCUGGGAGUACGGCCGCAAGGUUAAAACUCAAAUGAAUUGACGG
rnacentral:rRNA from 1 species